CCUACGGGUGGCAGCAGUGAGGAAUAUUGGUCAAUGGCCGGAAGGCUGAACCAGCCAUGCCGCGUGAAGGUCAGUGCCCUAUGGGCGUUAAACCUCUUUUGUGCGGGAGCAAUAAUGGUCACGUGUGGCCAGGCGAGAGUAACGUACGAAUAAGCAUCGGCUAACUCCGUGCCAGCAGCCGCGGUAAUACGGGGGAUGCAAGCGUUAUCCGGAUUUAUUGGGUUUAAAGGGUGUGUAGCCGGGAAGGCAAGUCCGAUGUGAAAUCCGGAGGCUCAACCUCCGAAUUGCAUUUGAAACUGGUGUUCUUGAGUGAUGGAGAGGCAGGCGGAAUGCCUUGUGUAGCGGUGAAAUGCGUAGAUAUAAGGAGGAACACCAGUGGCGAAGGCGGUCUGCUGGACAGCAACUGACGGUGAGGCGCGAAAGCGUGGGGAGCAAACAGGAUUAGAUACCCUUGUAGUC
rnacentral:rRNA from 1 species